GUGUCAGCCGCCGCGGUAAUACGUAGGGGGCGAGCGUUGUCCGGAAUUAUUGGGCGUAAAGCGCGUGUAGGCGGCUUAUUUAGUCAGAUGUGAAAACUCUCGGCUUAACUGGGAGACUGCAUUUGAUACUGGUAGGCUGGAGUGCAGGAGAGGGAAGUGGAAUUCCAAGUGUAGCGGUGAAAUGCGCAGAUAUUUGGAAGAACACCAGUGGCGAAGGCGGCUUCCUGGACUGUUACUGACGCUGAGACGCGAAAGCUAGGGGAGCGAACAGGAUUAGAUACCCUGGUAGUCCUAGCCGUAAACGAUGGGCACUAGGUGUUGGGGGUUAUCGACGCCCUCAGUGCCGUAGUUAACGCAUUAAGUGCCCCGCCUGGGGAGUACGAGCGCAAGCUUAAA
rnacentral:rRNA from 1 species